UUCCGGUUGAUCCUGCCGGACCCGACUGCUAUCAGAGUGGGACUAAGCCAUGCGAGUCGACGUAGCAAUGCGUGGCGAACGGCUCAGUAACACGUAGUCAACAUGCCCAGGGGACGUGGAUAACCUCGGGAAACUGAGAAUAAACCACGAUAGGUCACGAUUUCUGGAAUGGAUCAUGGCAUAAAUCUACAUGGCCCCUGGAUUGGACUGCGGCCGAUCAGGCUGUUGGUGAGGUAAUGGCCCACCAAACCUAUAACCGGUACGGGCUCUGAGAGGAGAAGCCCGGAGAUGGGCACUGAGACAAGGGCCCAGGCCCUAUGGGGCGCAGCAGGCGCGAAACCUCUGCAAUAGGCGAAAGCCUGACAGGGUUACUCUGAGUGAUUUCCGCUAAGGGGAUCUUUUGGCACCUCUAAAAAUGGUGCAGAAUAAGGGGUGGGCAAGUCUGGUGUCAGCCGCCGCGGUAAUACCAGCACCCCGAGUGGUCGGGACGAUUAUUGGGCCUAAAGCAUCCGUAGCCGGUUCUGCAAGUCUUCCGUUAAAUCCAGCCGCUCAACGGAUGGGCCGCGGAGGAUACUACAGGACUAGGAGGCGGGAGAGGCAAGCGGUACUCAGUGGGUAGGGGUAAAAUCCUUUGAUCCAUUGAAGACCACCAGUGGCGAAGGCGGCUUGCCAGAACGCGCUCGACGGUGAGGGAUGAAAGCUGGGGGAGCAAACCGGAUUAGAUACCCGGGUAGUCCCAG
rnacentral:rRNA from 1 species